CUGGGCCCCAGAGCCUGAAAAUGCCUGGACAGAGUAAACGCGACCUGCUGCCGGGACAGGACACAGCACCCUUUACUCUCUGGUCUCCCUGUUACACCUUUGGAAAGUAGCCCACGUUCUUGAAUAUUCUGGGAUUUUCCUUUCUGAAUACUUUUCUGACUAUUUUGUUCAUUCCUUUUUCUCUUUGCAUUUCAGUGUGGGAACUUUCUAGUGACCUGUCCUCAAGCUUACUGACUCUCUCCCUGCCCUUUCCAGUCCAGUGACGAGCCCAUGGAAGGCAUUCUUCAUUUCUGUCACAGCGUUUUUAGGUUCUAGCAUUUCCAUUGGAUUCUUUCUUAGAGUUUCCAUCUCUGCUUACAUUUCAUGUCUGUUCUUCAUACGUGUUUCCUUGUCUAAUUUUCUAUUAGUGUCCUUAACAUAUAAGUAACAGUUAUUUUAUUUUCCUGUCUGAUAAUUCCAGAAGAAGAGCAUAUCUGAGUCUGGUUGUGAUGCUUACAUUGUCUCCAUAGAUAGUUUCUCUUGCCUUUGAGCAUGUCUUGUAAUUUUCUGUUGAAAGCAGUCAUCUGUUGGAUAACAAGAACUGAGAUGAAUAGACCAUCAGAUGAGAUUUCAUGCUCUUCUGGCUAUGAGUUUGGCUGUUUAGUGUCUGCUGUAGCUGUAGGUGACAGAGGUUUCAAAUUUCUCUGAGUCCUUGUUUCUGUCUCACCUGUUGACGUUGGGCUUCCCUAGGUACUGCUCCUCAGGGAGAGUGUACGUCACGGCUGUCAGCUCCACUGCACUGUUGUUGAACUGGAGGCCCCGUGUGUGGUGCUACUGCCUGGGGGAGGGGGCCGCUUUCUGCAAGACUGGUUAAAUCUCAGUCACUCGUGGGCCUGUGUCCCUGGGCUGUGACCCUCACAGUGUUUCUUAGCUUCCCCCUUGGGUGAGACUCAAAGGCUGGAGUGGCUGGAGUGGGAGAGAUGCCGUUCCCCAGGAGGUCUGAUCUUCUGCAAGAGCCUGGUGGGGUUCCUGGAGGUAAAGCCCAGAAAAGUAUGAGGGCCCCUCAGACUGUGUCUCCCAGGACUUUCUCCCUCCCAGCCAGCCCACACUCAGCCUCUGGAAAACCACCCCAAUUGCCAGUGGAGUGCUCCCAUCAGCAUGAUGUCAGCAGCUUCUCUUCCAGGGUAUUUCGACUCCAAACAGAGUGUCCCUCCGUUCCAGGCAUGGAGAUGUAGUGGGGUUUCUGUGUCCCACACUUCCAGCUGCAUUGUCACCUCUCAGGAACCACAGCAGCGGGACUGUGAGACCUGCCCAUCCACUUGGAAUGCACCAUGCUCCUCCCUCCAACGUCCUCAAAUGUCCUGAGAUUCUUUGCAGCUGCCAGAGUGAGAGACUUUCUUUACUCACCUGGUAAGGAUCCUGGGAACCCUGUAAGCAAGAUCCCAGGCCAAUAUUUCCAAGUGGCUUCGUUUGUUCUCUAAAGUCAAUCCUUGUUCCUCAAAGGUGUUUGGUUAUAUCUGAGUUUAUGCAUGUUUUCCUCAAAGACGACAUUCCAGUCAAAGUGUUGGUAACACAACCAGUGUUUCCGAUUGUGUCCUGCUAUAGGGAGAACCUAUUCUUAUUGAACUUAUGCAAAUAACUAAAUUGCCAUGAAAAUAAGAAUACUCACUCAUCAAGAGGUUUCAAAUUCUAGAGGGAUCAGAUAGGGAAAAAAGAUAAACCUUUCACUUCUGUUUACAAAUUGUUGAAAAUCAUAGUUAGCUUAAGAGAAAAGAAACAAAGAUUUCCUUAAAUCUGGAAAGACAAAG
ensembl:lncRNA